rnacentral:lncRNA from 1 species
AUCACAUGCUGGAUAGCUUGGUGCAAGUGUAUUCUCAGCAGACAUAGAGAGUAACACUGCAUGCUUUACUUCUCAUUCCUUUGGCAAAGCAGCACCCCAGCUUUUCGGCAUUCACUGCAGAUUCUCACCUAACAUGCCUUGGAUGAGAUACCCUGAGAUGCAGCAGACAACAACAGAAACAGACAGAACUGCUCGUCCCAUUUAAUAGCUGAAGACUUGAGGCACAGCUGGUCAGAAUCACACAAGGCGUAUGGGUGUCUUGACCUUUCAAACAUCUUUCCAUAUGAACUGCUAGACUGGCAAACCUCGGGAGCUUGGCUGCACAUGACGGCAGGGUGGCAUGAGGAAGCUUACACUUCUGUUGUCCACACAUAA